rnacentral:rRNA from 1 species
AUGAACGCUGGCGGCGUGCCUAAUACCUGCCAGUCGCGCGAACAGACGAGGAGCUUGCUCCUCUGACGUUAGCGGCGGACGGGUGAGUAACACGUGGAUAACCUACCUAUAAGACUGGGAUAACUUCGGGAAACCGGAGCCAAUACCGGAUAAUAUAUUGAACCGCAUGGUUCAAUAGUGAAAGACGGUUUUGCUGUCACUUAUAGAUGGAUCCGCGCCGCAUUAGCUAGUUGGUAAGGUAACGGCUUACCAAGGCAACGAUGCGUAGCCGACCUGAGAGGGUGAUCGGCCACACUGGAACUGAGACACGGUCCAGACUCCUACGGGAGGCAGCAGUAGGGAAUCUUCCGCAAUGGGCGAAAGCUUGACGGAGCAACGCCGCGUGAGUGAUGAAGGUCUUCGGAUCGUAAAACUCUGUUAUUAGGGAAGAACAAAUGUGUAAGUAACUAUGCACGUCUUGACGGUACCUAAUCAGAAAGCCACGGCUAACUACGUG